rnacentral:lncRNA from 1 species
GUCAGAAACGAAAACUGCUGAUGAUGUAAAAACUUAAAGGAUGUGCAGGCACCUUUCUCAAAUAAUCCACGUUUGUUAGUGGUGGUGGAUCUAAAAUCAAUACAUAGCCAUGCCAUUUCUAUAAUCUGUGAGAAUCAGAAUAGGAAAUGUAAUUUUAAAAAUUCAAUAGGUGAUUGCAUUAAGAAUACACAACUCCUGUGAAGAAAUCUAAGAUAAGACAUCAAAGCCUUUGUAGAGAAAAUUAUUGUUUAUUGAGAGAUAUUAAGAAGAGCUAGUAAACGGAGGGAUACAUACUCUUUUUCACGGGAAGACACAAUUACUGAAAAGAUGUAAAGUUUCUCCAAGUUGAUUCAUGUAUUCAAUACAAGUACAAAAGACAACACAUAAACUGGGAGGAAAUAUGGGUGAGAUGUUAUGCUGACACAGGACUGAUAUCCAGAAUAUAUAAAGAAAUCAUGAAUGAAUAAGGAAAAAAGAAACAUAAAACUUAACGGGGAAAAGAGCAUGACACAUAAAUAGGAAUUUCACAAAAGAGGGCUCAUGUGAAAAACCAACUUCACUCGUAAACAGGGAACUGCAAACUAUAUAACAGCCAUCCAAUUGGCAAAAGGUUUUGUUUUGUUUUUUGAGACACUGUCUUGCUAUGUAGUUCACGCUGGCCUUGAACUCACCGUGUAGCCCAGGCUGGGCUCAAACUUAGGGCGAUCCUCCCGCCUCAGCCUCCUGAGUGUUGAGAUUACAGGUGUGUGCCACCACACCUAGCUUUGAUUGGCAAAUGUCAAAGACAGCUAAGCGCAAGUGUGUGCUAGAUACGGGGCAUGGGGAACUCUGAGCCAUUGCCACCAGGGUGGGAACUGGUACAAGCACUUUAGCAAACACGUUGGCAUUACCAAGUAAAACUCACUUUUUUUUUUUUUGGUACCGGAGAUCAAACUCGGGUCCUUGCACUUGCGCAGCAGGCGUCGAAACCACUGAGCUAAAUCCCUGGCCCUAAAACCAGCUUCUUAUAGUAGUGGUUCUCAAGCUUUCGGUCUCCGAAUCUCUUUACAUUCUUAAAAAUUGCUGAGGCACUCAAAAGCCAUUGUUCCUGUGGGUUUUAUGUAUCAGUAUCGUGGCACAUCACUGGUUAAAAUGGAGACACUGUUAAAAAAUAAACAAAUGAAACCUGAUUAGCUAUUGCAGCAAUGAUAUCAUAUAGCUGGAAAGAAUUUAAAAUUGGGAAAAAUCUGAAUGAAAAGGACAAAUUAUGAGAAAACACUCUGUCCUCUGAAAAGAGCCUCAGAGAACCCCAGGGGUCCCGGAGCAAUCCUUGCACAUGCGCACAGGAGACAGGAACAAGGAGGUGCUGAGCUCUCUGAUGCUGACUGGGCCCACCUGGGUGAGGCACUGUUCUAGAAACUGGGGACAGCAGAGGACAGGCGUGAGCCCUGCCCACAUGGCUUAUGCUCUGACUGGGCAGCAAGUUCACAGCAGCAUCCUCUGUAACAGCAAGAAGCUGAAAACAAUCCAAACCUCUGAUAACUGAAACAUUUGCACUUGGACUACUAUACAGCAGUGAAAACACAAAAUACGGUUACAUGCAGUAAACAGGGAUGAAGAGCUCAAAAACAACAUAAGAAAAGAGAAGUCCCAGAAGAAUACAUACAGUAUGAUUCCAUUUGCUACAAGUUCAAAAACGAGUAAAUCUAAAUAUUGUAUUAGGGAUACAACAUAGAUAGUAGAGCCACAAAUAAGAAUAGGGGAAUUUACUCAUAAAAGUCCAAAAGAAUGUCUACCUCCUACGGCAUGGAUGGGGUCAGACGAGCAGGGGUGCGGGCGCCUGGGAAUGUUCUGUUUCUUAAGCUAAAGGCUGCUCAUGUGUGCUCUUUUCUGAGCUCUGGGGAUGGAGGCCAGGGCCCAGGCAUGGUGAGGCCAGCGCUGUGCCACGGAGCCCCGCUGCAGCCCCAUUCCAUCUCCCACACUCUGGUAUGUGCUGUUUCCUGACACGUUUUUAAAGAAGAGACAGAAGGUUAUGCAAUGUACAGUUCAUCAACAGAGACAAAGAUCUUGUGAUGUUUCAGCCACUGCUGUGCCACACAGGUCCCCCGAGGAAAGACAGCAGUGGGAGAGACAGGACGAUGUGCCAGGGCCAGGAGCUGUCAGCUCAGGACCCACGAGCUCACCCUGGCUGGCGGCUUGCGGAGCUGGCUGCAGCCUCCGCCCGACUCUGGUAGCUGGACCGCGCUCACACAGGGUCUGAGUACUGCACAGAGCUGACAGGAACGGGCGGGAUCCGGAGCCCAGAGGAAAGCAGCCGACGCGGCCUCCUGACUGAGCUCUGCUGACGCUCAGGGCGCACAGCUUCGCGGGCCCCUGUAAUGGCGCCUUUGUGGUCACCAGUGCAGAAACAUGGACGGUGUGUGGUAGUCCUGAGUGUGUCCACGCCGACCAGGGCCACACAAAGCCCAGCACAGGUUUCCAUCUCUGCCAAGGUGGUCACUGUCCACGCGCUGGGCACUCACUCAGCACAGCUAAGCUGUCUCUCCCGACGCCCUGAUACUCCACCCAGAAGGUUCAACUCACUUACAAGGCAGGCGCGGAACCACUGAGCUAAAUCCCCGCCCAAGGUUUAAAUCACUGAACAGACCUGGAAACACUGAAUCCAUUCCCCUUCCUCCCGGAACAGGGCAAGCUAAGGCUGUCGUCUUGAUUUAGGUGCUGGCAAGGGUCAGACGGAGCCAGCAGCCAACUGCCAGCCUAAGGGGCAGGGAGGAAGAAGGUGACCUUGGGCCAUCUCCAGCGGCUCACGGACAGAUGCCAGCGCAUGGGGAGAUUCCCUGCAUGGACCCAGAAGCCCAUCCUGAUUUAAUUAAGCUGGACAGACAAGCCCACCAGGGGGCGUCAAAUUGCAACUGGUGGCAGAAUAACUUGGGACCAGACCGCUGCCCACGACUGUCUGCCGGGUUUUGUGGUUCUGGGUGGUAAUUAUUACACCUAGCUGCUCAUCCCUUCCCCGGGAUAAAUAGGGAAAUUAGGAGAGAGCCCUGCACUUCUUAGUCUGUCUCCUCGGUUAGGGGAGGCAUGGAUAAUCCUAGCACCUGGCAUCUGCGGGACAUGACUUACUAGUGGACAGUGCGACCUCAUGUUCAGAAACAAACACAUGCUGCUAUCUCGUACGUUUAAGCUGUGUGUGCUCGGACACAUCUGGCUUUUCCUAUGGCUGACUCGGUUCUCCCUCUGAGUGGCUCGUGUCUCACUAGCAGUGAGCCCGAGGGCCAGUGGCUGGGAUGGGGCCCACUUCCGUUUGUCCCGGCAUCCACAGCGGCUGCUACGGAUUCUGCUUCCUGUGCUUUCAUCCCCGAGGUGAGCAGUAAUCACUGACGCCUUGGUGCUCUGCAAAGGGUUUACGGAGCCAGCCAAAUGAGAGCCGCUGUUAAGGAAGCCUUCCGAAGCCCUCGAUCCCACCUCCUGUCUCCCCAGGGCCCAGGCUUCGGGACCCUGCACCCAACCUGUGGCACUGGCUGGGGUGGGAGCGAGACUGCACAGCGGACGGCCUCUAAGCAGCAGGCCCCUGCUCGACUCAAUUCACCCAAGAUGCAUAAAACAAAAUGACCUCAUGCUUGGUUUCAGGUGACCCUUGCUGACAUCAAAGGCCCAGAAGUGGACUUUUUUUUUUUAAUUUCAGUUCAGCAGAAACAAAAGAAAAGCAAACGGACACCAGUAAGAUAUGGAAAAUCUACAUUGGGAUUUGACAUUCAGCUUCUAGAAGUUACUGUUUCUCUCCUGGGAUACUGUAGUUGGUUUUUUUAGGGAUGAUCAAAAUAAGCCUUCUCCUGUGGUUACGGAAACAUGCAAAUGGAGACGCUUACCAGCACACUAGAAGGAAGCUGGAAGGGAGGUGGCCAAGGCGAUUGUGUUUUCCAGAGUCAGCAUGUCCUGGCCUCCGAGCUCAGUGGUGACCACCGUGACCCGACUCGCAGCGCGACAGAACCCCGGGAGCUCUAACUCUGGUGUCUGAGUCCUCCAGCAGUCCCCUGUGCUGAAGUACGAAGGUCGUUCCGGUGUCAGAAAAGAGACUAGCUGGGUGUGGUGGCCCACACCUGUGAUCGCAGCACUCAGGAGGCUGAGGAAGGAGGAUGCCACAAGUUUGAGGUCAGCCUGGACUACAUAGUGAGAUCUCAUCUCAAAAAGAAAACAACAACAAAGAGACUAACUUACCAAACAGAUUUUAAGCUUAUUUGAUCUCCCAGUGUUAAAAUCAUAGUCCAGGGCCGGGGAUUUCGCUCAGUGGUUUCAUCGCCUGCUGCGCAAGCGCAAGGACCCGAGUUCCAUCCCCCGGUACCAAAAAAAAAAAAAAAAUCAUAAUCCAGCAAUGUCCACCGAUCCCAUUAAGUGCUACGAUCUUCUCAGAUUAAAGCUCCUGGUGAGCUCUGCAUCUGCCAUUUAGAUCCCUUCCUUCCCCAUCCCAGACCUGCGCUGGGGAAGCCGUGCACCGGCGAGGUGGGGGCUGCAGAGCCCAGUUAAACCUGCCACAGCCUCUCCUGCCGGGCCUCCGCCAUCCGCGAGAUGCUGGUGCGAGCGGGCGUGGGAAGGCUCACUGGGCCGCGCCCCGCAGCUGGGGAGGGUGGGCAGGACCCGUCCGCUGAGGGCAGCGGCCGGAAGCGCGAGCGCGGAGCAGGAAGGGAAACUCACAGCCCUUGGGGCCUUUGCCUUUUCACUUCCGCGCACGCUGGUUCAGCUCUAGUGAGAGGGAAGCGGGCGCUGCAUUCCUGGAGGGGACGAAUCUCCUCGCUUAGGCGUGGGGAGCAGUCCUGCGAACUCGAACUCAGCCGGGGUGAAAGCCAGCGCCGCUCACUCGGACUCGGCCCCUGCUGAGGCUUCCUUCACGUUCAAC